AGAGGAGGGCGGGCCCUGGCAGAGCCCGGAGGUGCUGAGAGGAGAGACCUUUGACCCAUGUGCAUCCUGAUCCGUGGCCAGGGGCGUACCCAGUACUGCGGUGCGCCACUCUGGAGGGCUCACCCAGGUAGCCUCACCCUGAAUCUUUGACCCAGUACCCUUUGAGGGGCCGAAUGGUUGCCACUCCCUGCUCAGAGAUAAACAAAAGUCCAGGGACAUGAAAUGUUGCCCUGACAACACAGACCAGAAUUGGAUAAAGGAGACUAUGUAUCAUCUGGCUAGCCAGAGAGUCCCUGCUAUCUGAAAAAGGGAGGAGAACCUGCGGCAUUGUUUUGUAACCAAGAUUAAAAUCCUUAAUGGA